UACGAAGGGGGCUAGCGUUGCUCGGAAUUACUGGGCGUAAAGGGAGCGUAGGCGGACGGUUAAGUCAGAGGUGAAAGCCCAGAGCUCAACUCUGGAAUUGCCUUUGAUACUGAUUGUCUUGAGUAUGGGAGAGGUGUGCGGAACUCCGAGUGUAGAGGUGAAAUUCGUAGAUAUUCGGAAGAACACCAGUGGCGAAGGCGGCACACUGGCCCAUUACUGACGCUGAGGCUCGAAAGCGUGGGGAGCAAACAGG
rnacentral:rRNA from 1 species